AUUUACAUAGUUUAAUAAAAACAAUACUUUUUCAUAGUAUAAUUAGAUUUAAAUCUUGCAAAUU
rnacentral:tRNA from 1 species